GACAAGGGGGUGUGAUGGGGAGGAUCAGCAUCAGGGCGGAGAGGGAGAGAGAAUAUCAGAUGUCAACAAAUCUGCUGUCCUUGCGGCUCGUUUAGAAAGGAGGAGGGUCGAAGGUGGUUCCAUUCCAUCCCCCUCCCUUCUUGCCCCCAGAGGAGAGAGGAGAGAGGAGAGAGAGGGAGGCCAGGCCAAACGACGCCAAUCCAAAACCCCCAAAAGGAGCAAGGAGAGAGAGAGAGAGAGUGGGGAGUGAGCAGAGAGAGAACAAACCAAGAUACUCCUACAUCCGCAGACAGUGGUUCGUUCGUCCGGGGACGAGGACGAGAACCCACCACUUUCUCUCCCUCUUCCUCGCCCUUCCUUCUCUCCCUGGCCCGGCCCCAGCAAAUCCGGUUCCAGCCUCCCCCCGACCGGACCCGUCCCGGAUACGUCGGAGCUCCGAGCGUCCUCCGCCCCGAUCGCCCCCCUGCCGCCGCCACAGAGAUUUGCCUCUUUCUUUUCGUUCGUUCUAGGAUAUAUAGAUAGAUAAAUAAAUAUCCUGCCUUGGUUGGGUUGGGCGGCUUCUUGGGCGGCGCGGGGUUUCUUGGGGCAUGGCCGUGGCGGCGGUGCCGGACAGGACGCUCGCCCGCCGAAUGCUGCGGGUCGUCAGGCUCAACCCGCUGCAGCGCAGCGCCAAGAAUCCCUGAGGUCUGUGUGACGUUUCAGUUGGAUUGUACGCGAGAAGUCAAUGAUUGCAUCUGCUGGCCAUAGGUUUCUAUUUUCCACGUUUGGUAAAGAUGAUGAUAUAUCUCUUAAAAGAACUAGUCCUUAGGAUUUUAUUAAGUAGGUUGAACUAUCGCCGGUUGACUCGUCUUCUCUCCUUUAGUUAUUUCCUGCCCGAUGAAUUUAGAAACAAACAGGUGAGGUGCAUAUUCUAUGCCAUUAUGGAAUACAGUAUAUAUUUAAAAGUUGGGCCUUUGGUGUUGUUUACUCUGUUGCUGUCUAGGUUUGUUUGAUUAUUGUAGGGGUAGUGAGUUUUUGUCAUGCAUUUUAUCCAUGAUACAUGUAGCAUCUUGUUUCCCAGAUCCUUUCUUAUUACUCACUGCAGUAUUUAUUGGCAGGUUAUUUCUCUUUAAGUGCCAUUCAGAUUGGGAGGUAGUAUUGAUUCACCUGAGCAAGUCAAGCUGUCCAGUUAGCUCAAAGCAUUAAAGAUUGGAAUUUCACACGUGCAUUGCAUUCACACUGUGAUUUCCCUUUGGUGUCCUGUGAUGUGAUGAUCAGUGCUGGUUGCCGUCCGGGUCAAGGGGAAUUUUAGCAUGAUUGCUACAUGCUCAUUGUUUUGGGGAUCUGCACAUGGACUCAAAUGGUUGGCGCUCUCCAUACUAUGAGGAUAGAACAUCAAAUGGACAGUUGUACAAUGGCUUCAUGACAAAGCAGGCAGAUGGUUAUUCAGAAUACGACAACGAAACGCUAAAGCGCACAAUGCUUUCACAUGAAGCUAUGUUUAGACAGCAGGUUUAUGAACUGCACCGGGUUUACAAAAUACAGAGAGACCUGAUGAAGCAUUAUGAAAACAAAGAUGCAUAUGCAUACCCAGAACUGGCAGAUGCAUCACAGACAAAUUCGUCAUCACAAGUUCAACCAAAUGGCUCAAAGAUGAUAUGGCAGAUGCCUCUGGUGGCCAAAACAUACGGAGAGGCUACUGUUGCAGUGCACACUGAUACAAACCACUCCUUGAAGUUCCUUAGUGAUGGCAGUGUCCUGCCCUCUCCAAAUGGAUUCCCCUCGAAUGGUGUUGCUUUAAAUACCAAGCAAGGCAUUAUUGACCUUGAGCUUCCAGCUGAUCAUUAUAUAGAUGAUGACAACACAUCAGAUAAUAAGCCUAUAGAUUUCCUUGGUGUAGAUUCGGGUACAAAACCUCCGAAUGGUGCAGAAGGCUUGGGGAGGUUCAAUGAUAAUAGCUCAACCUCUGGUUUGCUGACUACCAAUAAACCGGGAGGCUGCCAUGUCGCUGACCUGAAUGAGCCAAUUACUGGGAUGCAUAUGGGUGGAACAAACGGGUCAGUAUCCAGAGGUCUCCCGUAUACCUUGGAGAACUCUUGGCGCCAAUCUGCAGUGAGAUCAAGCACAGCUAACUUUGGUUUCAAUAAAGAAUACUCCAAAGAGAAGCAUACUGACGAAGGAACAAGCUCAAAUUUCCUUGAUGCAAGUGCCAAACUAAGACAGGAGGAGAAACCAUUGAUUGAUAAAGGAAAACAAGUCAGCAACCAAUCUUUUUUUACACCCAGAUACAGCAAUGCUGAUCUGCAAAAAUCCUUCAAAGUUGCUGAUGGGAGAUCUGCAACCAAUGAGAUUAUUUACCAUGGUCAAAACAGUUCAGUUGGAUGGUUUUCAAAAGGUCCUAUGGGAGCAUCUCCCAUCAAUAAUUUUGCUAGACUUGACCAUCCACAUCAUUCAAGUAUUGGUACACUUGUUGCUCCAAUCUCCAUUCCUCACAUAGACCAUCCUUCCGUCGCCUCUCCUAUAGGUUCUUGCACAGUGGACCCAAGGAGCAGUGUUAUCAACAAUGCUUUCCAGCGAGUUCCAAGUUUCAAUGGAUCUUCAACUGUUAAUUCAUACAAGAGUCCUAGUGCUGUGACCCAAAGCAUUGGACCUUCGAUUCAUAAGCUGAAAAGAUUUGAUAAUUUGGAUGGUAGUUACUUUGGCUUUCCACCUGAUCCAUUUUCCGCAUCACGAUCCAGACAACAGGUUGCAAUUUCGAGCGAGUUGGAGCAAAGGAACUGCCUGAUGUUUGAACAUUCAGCAGCACGGCAGUCUCAUGGGUAUCCUCAGUCCACAAACGGCAAGGGCAUAAAGAACUUUAAUUUGAAUGAAGCACUGUCAGAUGGUCUGGAAGAGCUUGUAGAACGGGGUCGGAGAUCUGUUGGUAGUUUGCAGCAUAUUAAAGGCGAGGGAUCAGUAUUUGGGAUCUCUUGGCUAAAAAAUAAAGCCACUUGUGCUGACCCAACAGGGCUGGAAAAGCAAAGAAAGAUGCUUGGCCAUUCCAACGGGACUGCAGCAGACACGAAAAUCAACAAUAACUUGACAGGAAUAACACCGAUUGUUUGCAAUUUGUCAGAUUCUGCCUCGACGUCCCUAGGUUGCAGAAUUAAGAUAGAUGAUGCUUCUGAAGGCAUCACUGAUAGAACUUGGCUGGUAUGUAAUAAGACUGAGGAGAGUACUACGAGACAUUUACCACUUUCAAGCCAGAAACCCUUGGAUAGAGAUGGACAAGCUGCUGAAGGUGUUGUCAAGAAAAGUGGCGCCGCUGUCGUCAGAAAUUUGUUUGAUCUGAAUGAUGAUGUACCACAUGAAGAUAACUCAGAGUCAUCAGUAGUGUCACAUGAAUGUGAUGUGGCGGCCUUACAGAACAACCAUGCUAAGCGCACAUUUUUGUUUGACUUAGAAGAAGUGCCAGCUUGUGAAGAUGGUGCUGCCUGGACUUCUCAACAGGAAUGCACACCUUCUGGCAAGCUUGGUGCAUCCAAGGAAGCUGAUAUGUGUUUUCCAUCCGCUACAGAUGCAGCGCAGAUUAUUCUUGCGUUGUCAACGGAUGUGCCGACCACCACAGGCACACCCGAUGAUAUGUUGCAGUGGUUUGCAGAGCUCGCGAUAUCAAGCAUGGAUGACCAUGCCGAGCAAGCAAAAGUCCAGGGUUGCAUCGAUAAUUCCAGUGAUGAUGGUUCAGACUCAUUUGAAGCCUUGACACUGAAGCUGGAAGAGUGCAAGACCGAUGAGCGCUGGACCAGGACACCAGAACCACCACUGACAGACGAUGACCAAGCUGUUUCAGCGGUGAACCUGCUGUCCAAGCCAAAAAGAGGACCGCAAAGGAAGCGACGGCAGAAGCGGGACUUCCAGAAGGACAUCUUGCCCGGGCUUUCAUCGCUUUCCCGGCCUAAGAUCAUAGAGGACAUUCAGCUAAUUGAGGGGUUAGUACAGGCAUCUGGUGGAUCAUGGGAGUCGAGUUUAACCAGGCGAGCGCGCGGUGGGCGAACAAGAGGUAGAAAGCCCCGCAAAGACCAGCCAGCUACCGUAGAGAUAGAAGCCAAGGCGAGCCCACCACCCUCAAAACCCGACUCUGUUGGCUUAGAAGCUGAUGAAAGGGGCAUGGUUAGCUGGGGGCGAACAACAAGGCGGUGUCGCAAGCCACGAUGCCCAUCGGGCAAUAGCGUCGCAGCUUCGUCCUGAACAACCUCUGAUCCUGGUCGGUUUCGGAUUUGCCAUCGAGAUUGCGGUGGACUGGUAUAAAGGUAAAAAAAAAAAAUCACAGCCAUGAGUGUGCAUACUCUGCUGGCCUGCUUGGCUGGCCUCCCCCCUCAGAGAUUCCAUGCCUUUUUCGGGUCGAAACAUGAUGUACAUUUUUUUUCUAUAAUAAAUUCUUAAACUAGUCUAUAUGUGACAAUUUCUGUAACAGCGUUGUAUUAAGCUGGGUCCAGGGCCUGAGAGGCCUGCUGUAAUUCUUGAGAUAGUGGCGAGGUACCUUGACUGGCCGGUACUUGGAAAUCAAAGAGGCUAAUCGGUGUAGUUCUAUAUAGUUUUAUCAUGUUUUGUUUUGUGUUUCUGUAUGUAAGUUUUUGUGUUUCUGUAUGUAAGUUGCUGCUUCAUUUGGCUGCAAUUUUUGCUUCGCGGCCUGUAGCUCAGCGCUGCCUAGUUGGAGUGGAGACUGGACACCACCGUUAAGGACUUAUCCAGACAGAACUGGUAGUUCAUGGCUUGUUUGGAAUAGCUUUAUUUUCAUCAGUUUCGGUAGAACUGAACUACUAGCACCCUUUGAGAAAGGAGAGUGUAAAUGUAAACGAGCUACUGGCAAAUAUAUAUAUCC
rnacentral:rRNA from 1 species